rnacentral:lncRNA from 1 species
AAAUAACGAAGAAGGAAGAAGAAGGGUAAUUAUAUUUAACAUUUCCGACGGACACGGGUUCGUCAGUAUUCCGUCGGGAUAAUUAAAUAUAUACCAAUUGGCGAUUCACGAAAAGUUUUACGCGGUUUGGUUUUCCCGGGUAAAUUGAAAUUCCGACGGAAUUGGUGUCCGUCAGUAUAUUCCGACGGAAUACUGACGACCUUUUCCGACGGAAUUCCGACGACUUAGUGUUUAGGGUGUUGAUU